rnacentral:rRNA from 1 species
UACGGAGGGACCGAGCGUUGUUCGGAUUCACUGGGCGUAAAGGGUGCGUAGGUGGUGAGGUAAGUCGGAUGUGAAAUCUCCGGGCUCAACCCGGAAACUGCAUUGGAAACUACCUUGCUUGAGGAUUUGAGGGGGGAUUGGAAUACUUGGUGUAGCAGUGAAAUGCGUAGAUAUCAAGUGGAACACCAGUGGCGAAGGCGAAUCCCUGGAAAAUACCUGACACUGAGGCACGAAAGCUAGGGGAGCAAACAGG